GCCAGGGAACUACGAGCAAAGCUUAAAACCCAAAGGACUUGACGGUGCCCCACAUCCCCCUAGAGGAGCCUGUCCUAUAAUCGAUGAUCCCCGUUGAACCUCACCUCUUCUAGCUUAUCAGCCUGUAUACUUCCGUCGUAAGUUUACCACGUGAGUGAAAACUCAGUAAGUCUAAUGUCCUUCUGCCACUAAUCAAUCGACAAUACGUCAGGUCAAAGUGCAGCAAAUGAAGAGGGAAAAGAUUGGCUACACUUUUUAAUAUAAAAGAAAACGAAAGACAAUAAUGAAAUUUUGUCCAAAGGCGGAUUUAGCAGUAAAAAGAAUUCAUAAUAUUCAUUUUAACCCGGCACUGGAGUGUGU
rnacentral:rRNA from 1 species